UUAAAAAAAAAAACCCUAUAAACUUUUGCAUUUUUGGGGUUUUCUAUCUUUUACGCCUCGGAUUUCCUUUUGUCUUUUUGAGAUUUUGCUUCGUGCAUUUAACCAGUGCUUGCUCAAAACGACGCUGUUUAUCCUUUGUUUUCUUCCCCUUCACAGCAUCUUUCCUUUUGUAUCUUUUUUUUUUUUUUUUUUUAAUUUCCUUCUUAUCUCUGAGAGAUUCAGAGAUAAGAUGAAAUCCGGUGAAUUCUUUGCUUGAGAUGUAAGGUCUGCGCGUUAUCAUGAGUGGGGGGAGUGAGGACAGGUGAGAGGGUGAGAAGAGUGAUGCGGUGAUAAACAGAGGCAGAGUAGGGGUGAUGAACGGAAUUUCGGGGAGGAGAAUGCCGCCACCUACUGCGAGGGCGAUUGCUAGGGCUUUCUUUGCCGUGGAAGUGACGGAAAGUACGAAGCUACCUGUGGCUGUGUGGAGCCAAGCGGCGCUAAAUUUCUGUGAGGAGUUAGGGUUCAUGCGGAGAUUAAGAACGGUAUUAGUGGUGAUUCAACAGCUGGGUUUAAUCUGAGAAGGAUUCCAUUUUUGGUGAUGAACAAAAUAGGGAUUGAGCACAUGGACUGUGAUGAUUCGAAAUUGAAAAGGCAGCCUACAAGAACUAUGAAGACCAUCUAUGACUUUUUGAAGUAAAAAUGAUGGGUAACUUCUUAUUUCCAGAAUGAGUUAUAUUUUUCAACUUCAUGUUCAAUUUAAGGAACUUUCUAUAAAUUUGGAAUGCAGAAAUUGAUUGGUGUUGGUGUCGAAGUUUCGCGAUUGUGAUUGAUAAUUGUAGCAAUGGAAUAAUUUUUCAGGAGUGUAUUCAUGCUUUAAGAAUUGUGUAUCUUUGAAUAUGCAAGUGAAAUAGGGUAGAUAGGCACCUAGAUUAAAUUCCAUUUCCAUCCAUGCUUGAUUUCCCUGAUUUAUUGUUAUUCUUUUUUUCUAUACCCUUGAUGAUCUUGCAUUGCAAAGAGACAGAAUAUUGUGGCUGUUGUUGUGAAGGCUGUUGGAGAAAGCUACGAGUCAUCCACCUCCCUCAGCAUUGUUAAGUCCGUAAAGAAUGUUUAAAGUUCACGCCUCUGUUUCAGUCCAGACGCUCAAGCCCAAGGACAAGUCUGAUUGCUUUGGUGUUUUUUGCCAAACAUAACAUCUAUAUGUGGUUCAUACCCUUUAUUCUAUAAUAUCAAAAUCAUGUGUGUUUCUUUAAUUUUAUAGAUUUUAUCGGGCUUUAAUGGAUGUUGGUUUCUUCUGAUGUUUGAUAUAGUGGCAAUUUUCUAUUUUCCUAAGUAGUUUGGCUCUGAUCUACUUAGUAUGCCUUAGUUGGCUUUUUUUUUUUUUUAAAGAAAAAAAAAUUAACCUACUAAAACAUAUGUUGCAUUUUCUUAGAAGGUUUCUUUGAUUUGUUUCUUCCUAAAUAUGUAAAUGACAAUUUGUUUAGAUAUAGCAUCAAGAUUAGGAAGAUAAAAGACACUCCAACCAAUUAAUACAAUCAUUGAAAACACAAUCAGUGAGAAUUCAUAGCUAUCAAACUACAUUCCUUUAGAUUGCUGUAUAUGUAAUGUUUACAUCGACCCACCCCGAAGAAUUAAAUAUCUGGGUUUUAAUUUUGUAAAUUAAAUGAAGAAUAUUCAAAUGCUGUAUUUGAAUCGUACAGUCAUGGUACAUAAUUCAAUUUAAUAAGCAAUGAUCAUUGAAAUUGCUUAAGCUGCAAUUAUGUGUACCCCAUAUGAUAUUAUGAUUAUGCUUUGGAUGUAAGCUCUCAAUGCUCUUAUGUGGCUGGAUAUUUUCCAAGAACCAUAACUCAAGUCAAUGAGGAAGAACAGGAGGUGCAAUUGUGUGGGUGUUGCAUGAUUUGUUUAACUUUCAUCUAAUGUAAGUUUUCCAUUUUUUUCUUCCCUCUUUGGUAAGUCAUAUGAUGUGUUAUAAAUUCAAUAUCACCAAAAUCUUCACAUGAAAUCUUGUCAGCACAGCUUAUAUCGCAUCCAAAGAAACACAAUAGUUUCAAGGCAUUUCAGUUGAGGAUGAUUAGUCUGGCUUAAACUCUGCUGUGUUUUUGUUAAUCGUUUCAAAAUCACUGCAUAAUUUAAGACUUUCAUUACAUAUUUAUUUAUUUACUUAUUUAUUACUUAAAAGUUUGCAAGAAACUGAAAUGGGGUUUCUAAAGUAUUUUUUUCCUUGAAAUUGUGGCAGGUAGCCCUACAAGGAGCCAACUGCUCAGACGAACGAAGACACAAUUUAAACUUACAUGUUUAAACACUUUUUCGAAUUUGGUGAAGGAUGGAAUUUUACGGUUUACAUGUAAGGAAGGGAAGCCACUCUUCUUUCCUCUUUAGUCUUCAUGUUUUUUUUUUUUCAUCCAAGCAAACAUAGGAUUUAGCUACACUCUUUGGAAAUGAGCAUGGUGUGGCUUUCUAUUUAUGCACCAGUUUUUUUAUUUUAAUUUAAUCCACCUGCUGAGGCUGGUUUGCUGUGGCUUAAGUAUUUUUUAAUGUUUUGAUAAUGGUAUUCUGAUAUUUUAUGGGCUUCGAGUCA